rnacentral:rRNA from 1 species
UACGGAGGGAGCUAGCGUUGUUCGGAAUCACUGGGCGUAAAGCGCACGUAGGCGGCUUUGUAAGUUAGAGAUGAAAGCCCGGGGCUCAACUCCGGAACUGCCUUUAAGACUGCAUCGCUUGAAUCCGGGAGAGGUGAGUGGAAUUCCGAGUGUAGAGGUGAAAUUCGUAGAUAUUCGGAAGAACACCAGUGGCGAAGGCGGCUCACUGGACCGGUAUUGACGCUGAGGUGCGAAAGCGUGGGGAGCAAACAGG